GUGGGCGUGAGGCCGGGAAACCCGCCGAGUGGCUUUCUCCACGCGACCCCCGGCCUUUCCCGCUCUCGGGGGGCAGCGCCGGCCGGAGAGAAGCGGGCACAGUCGCACCCCCGGGCCGGUGGUCGCGGUGGGGGUGGCUGAUGAUCCUGGAGCACCCGGCGCCCCUUUCCCUUCGCGCCCCUUCCUGCCCGGGGUAUCAUAGGACCAAGGGGUUCGAGCGUGUGGACUGGCUUGGCAGUGAAGCGAGAAAAGAGAAGCGCUCCUUUUAGGUCUUUUCCAUCUCUCACUGCGUUUAACCGGCGAACCAAGUCACAUUUUAAUUUGAGAAAGAUGUCAUGUGUUACUUCUCUUGCCUUAAAAAAAGUCCCCCAGUGAGCAAGCGCGCUGCAACUUCCUUAGUUUUGUCAAAGCCGCUUCCUGCUUUCAGUCUUUUAUACCCUUAUAAGG